GAUGAACGCUGGCGGCGUGCCUAAUACAUGCAAGUCGAGCGAACAGACGAGGAGCUUGCUCCUUUGACGUUAGCGGCGGACGGGUGAGUAACACGUGGGUAACCUACCUAUAAGACUGGGAUAACUUCGGGAAACCGGAGCUAAUACCGGAUAAUAUUUCGAACCGCAUGGUUCGAUAGUGAAAGAUGGCUUUGCUAUCACUUAUAGAUGGACCUGCGCCGUAUUAGCUAGUUGGUAAGGUAACGGCUUACCAAGGCAACGAUACGUAGCCGACCUGAGAGGGUGAUCGGCCACACUGGAACUGAGACACGGUCCAGACUCCUACGGGAGGCAGCAGCAGGGAAUCUUCCGCAAUGGGCGAAAGCCUGACGGAGCAACGCCGCGUGAGUGAUGAAGGUCUUCGGAUCGUAAAACUCUGUUAUUAGGGAAGAACAAACGUGUAAGUAACUGUGCACGUCUUGACGGUACCUAAUCAGAAAGCCACGGCUAACUACGUG
rnacentral:rRNA from 1 species